ensembl:snRNA U6 U6 spliceosomal RNA
CUUCUGCAGAAGAUGUGGUAUUGCAGUUGGAACGAUUCAGAGAAGAUUAGGAUGACCCCUGUGCAAGGGUGAAUUUUUUUAAUGGAAUUUUUAGCAACUUGAA